UUAAUUUAAAGUAAUUCCUGNUCAGUGCCAAAUUUAAACAGCCGCAGAAUUUUAUACUGUGCUAAGGUAGCAUAAUCACUUGUCUUUUAAUUUAAGAAUAGAAUGAACGGAAAAACGAAUUAAAUUCUGCCUCACUUUUUUUUAACAAAACUUUUUAAAAGUAAAAACACUUUUGGCUUACAAAAAAGACGACAAGACCCUAAGAAACUUUACUCAAGUUUAGCUGGGGCGGCCUUUUAAAAAUAUCUUAUAUUAAAUUUUUCUAACCGUCAUCUCUUACAUAGUUACUCUAGGGAUAACAGCAUAAUUUUAUUUUAAAGCUCUUAUACAAAAUAAAGAUUAUGACCUCGAUGUUGAAUUAUAAAUCUCUUAAUUGAAAAUUAUUAAAAAGAGAGUCUGUUCGACUCACAACAAUAUACAUGAUUUGAGUUCAGACCGGUGAAAGCCAGGUCGGUUUCUAUCUUUUUUAUCAUACUAUUAGUACGAAAGGACCAUAAUAUGAAUUU
rnacentral:rRNA from 1 species